GGAGGAGUGGCAGAGUGGCCGAAUGCGCUGGUCUUGAAAACCAGAAACGGGAAACUGUUCGUGGGUUCGAAUCCCACCUCCUCCGCCA
rnacentral:tRNA from 1 species